UUCCCCUUCGGGGACAUAUGAUAAAAUUGAACCGAUACAAAGAAGAUUAGCAUGGACCCAGUGCAAGGAUAAUACGCACAAAUCGAGAAAUGAUCCAAAUUAUA
rfam:Nicotiana attenuata strain TT scaffold02353, whole genome shotgun sequence.